UUGUGUAUUGUAGAAUGAACCAUAUAGUAAAUUUGAAUAAUAUAUUAGGUUGAGCAAACAAUUUUUUUAGGAUAAAAGAGUAUAUGAGUAGACAUUUUUAAUUGACGUAUAAAGCAGUAAUUUAAAUUUUAAAACAGUUGACCGGUGUCGUUUGAUGUCUUGUUGUUCAUCCCAUGUGGAGUUAUGGCUUCAAGCUUAGUAUAGCAGUUUAUUCUUCUUUUGGAAGCGUUGUAUGAUAUCAAUGUCGGUGUCGAAGUAAAAGCGCGAUCCAGGUGUGGUUGUGAGUGAUAGUUUUCCUGUAAAAGUGAAAUAUUUGUAAGCAUUUAUUUUGACGUAAAUAUUAUGUUUAGUUUAUUACCUUCAUGUAACCGUGGAAUGAUACUUGUGAUGAUUACGAUUUGGGUUUUUCUGGUAGAUAUGUGAUUUAGCUCCCUGAAAUUUGACGUCUCAUUGUCCCAGAUAGUUAGACGUACCAUUUUGGAUCUACUAAAAAUAAUUGUAUUAUAUAUUUAUUAGUUAAAAUAAAUAUUAUUUAAUAAAGUGUUAGUACAUGUGUAAACGCAAUCCAAUGAUGAUCUUAGAAUAUGUGUUCUUGUUAUAUAAAUCACUUCCUUGGAU
rnacentral:lncRNA from 1 species